AUCCAACUGACGAGUCUCAAAAUCGAAUGAAACGCGCGUCAAACUGGAU
rfam:Schistosoma mansoni strain Puerto Rico chromosome 3, complete genome